UUCCGUAGGUGAACCUGCGGAAGGAUCAUUCGCACAAAGAAAUGUUCUGUUCCACCCGCCACGCACCACACAGUGUUUUCUGUUUUGAAAAAGGAAAAAGUUUUCCGCCUCGUCGAUGUUGCGAUCUCAUUGCAAUGCAUGCGAUGUUAUCUAUCUCUUGCGACGACGAAUGCCUUGGCUCGAGGAUCGUUGAAGGACGCAGCGAACUGUGCUAAACAUCUCGAAUUGCAGAUUUCUGAGAAAGAAAAGGAUUCUGAACGCAUUCUGCGAGUUGACCUCGUGUCAGCUCACGUGAUUGGCGGUGACCGAAAUAUGCAGUCGCUCAGACUCCGAAGUUUGAGUGGUCUUCACAUGUUGUCGCAAGUUCUGCGCCGACGUGUUCGUGGGAUUCAACGCGUCUCUCGUUUUCGAGCAGCAUUAAGAUUUCAAGUCUUGAUGUUCGAAUUCAUUGAUGUGUUCCGUUUUCUUUCAGAAAACAUUUUUUCUCGCACGCUCACGACCAGUCACGGGAUUACCCGCUGAAUUUAAGCACAUCAAUAAGCGGAG
rnacentral:rRNA from 1 species